rnacentral:lncRNA from 1 species
UCAUCAACAUUAUCCGCCAUAUGGGUACAUGCAACCAAUGCCACCUUAUCAACAGUAUCCACCAUACCAUUCAGCAAUGCCUCCACCUCGAGGCCCACCUCAACAUUAUCAACACCCUGGACCUCCAAGACCUUCACCACCUGUGAGUGCACCAGCUUCAACAAGCGCGCAACCACCACCAGCAUCUACUUCAUCAGGCUCUGCCCCACCACCACCACCACCGGCGCCCGUCCCAUCUGCUGCUGCAUCUGGAUCUUCUCAGCUAUGAAGGUUUUCCCGUACUGUUUGUUUUUGAUAAUGUAAGCAUAAAACUUUUUAACCCCCG